rnacentral:lncRNA from 1 species
CGGCGCGAGAGCGGGCUGGACUUUAGCUCGCGCUGCUGGACUGAAAGCUCGCGAGCGCGCGCGUUGCUGGACCUGCCUGUGACGCCAUCGCUUCAUCUCUUCAUCUACAUACCCUCGCGAGCGCGCGCCCGUGCGCUCCAUCAGCAUCUCCUCUCUCAAUCGAGCAGAAACAAACGGGAAUCUCGCGCCUCCCCUCUACUGCAGAGAGAGAGAGAGAGAGAGAGAGAGAGAUGUGUGUAGACAGAGAGAGAGGGAUGGAGAUAUGGAGAGAGAGAUGUAUGUGUAGAGAGAGAGGUGGAGAGAGGAAAAGGGAGUGGUAGAGAAAGGUAGAGAGAGAGGGAGAGAGGUGGAGAGAAAGUGGUAGAGAGAGAGAGAGAAAGAGAGAGAGAGAGAGAGACAGAGGGAAGGGGUGUUGCUGCUCGCGCACAGAAAGAGAAAGAGAGAGAGAGCUAAAGAGAGAGAGAGAGAGAGGAGCUCAAUAGUCUGCGGCUCGUUCUCGCGCAGGUGAGCGCGGCAUUCCUCUCUGUAAUAUUUGUAUUAUUUUAUAUUUUUCUAUCACUGCUUUGUGACGCCACCGGAUCAGGCAGAUCGCGCGAGGACAGAAGAAGCGCGCGCGAGGAGAGGGAUCUGCAGAGCGCGCGGACACGGAAGAGGUGCUGUGCUCUGAAUCUAAUCUCAGAGGAGCACUCAUCACCCCAAAAGAGGAAGAAAUCAGACAAAAAGGAAAAUACAAGAAAAGUUCAGUCGAGAAGAAAAAAAGAAAGCUGGUUCUCAGCGGAUGUUCGGCUGAUGUUGACCUGUUCCGAAAGGGAGAGUCCCAAGGAGAUUUUAUGACGGAAGGUGUAUUCUUGUUCAGAGCAGCACUAAGAGGAGAUCUCCACUAUGAAUGCAGAUAGCGGAGGACGGGUUCGCAAGAGUGUGUCGCUGUCUCUGACUCUCUGGCCAAUCAAAAGAGUUCAGAGUUACCCCAAUCUGUACACAAAGACUGCAGGUACUUAUACUAGCAUAGAGCUAAUACACACACACACACACACAGUCAAACACACACAAACACACACACAAACUUACACAAACCAGAACACUAACAUUCUUUAGAUCAGUGCGUCAGGUCCUGUUAUAGCUAAUGUACACGGCUAAUCACCACUGUAAUCCUAGGGCGUUUUCACACUCGUCCUGAAUGAGUAGUACCUUACCCUGAACUAAUUGAGAGCUCGUUUGGGGAAAUGCCUCAUUAUUGCUGGUUUGUUUUCACACACAAGAACUCCAUUUGAGCCAUGGAUCGAUUGCACAGCUCCAUGCAAACAGCAGUCAGUCAUGUUGCUUUCAUCACCAUGAUGUCAGUACCCGCACUCACUCCACAAA